GCUGGCUGAGGGUUUUAUUUUCAUCAUUUGUGUGGCUGGCUUCAUUACUUUAGUUGCAAUCCCUCAUAUGACAAUCAGGGACAUCAUACUUUGCAUCCUCGCGUUCCUACCGACAGGAUGGGGCCUGCUCUUGGUUAGUUUACUUCAACAUCUCCAUACUAAAUACACUUUUGACAUUAGCUUUGCAUUCCUUUGUACUCACUCAUUUAUCGAUUGUCUUCGUCUUCAUGAUUCAGUACAGAUUCCUUAAGCUUGUAAGCCCUUAAUUCAUCAAACUCGAUUAUGGGGAUCUGUUC
rnacentral:lncRNA from 1 species